AUGACCCCAGGUCAAGUAGGAUUACCUAAUGAAUUUAAGCAUAUCAAUAUGCAGAGAAAAAGAAACUUACCGAGAUUCCCCUAGUAACAACAAGCAAACUAGAAAGAGCUCAGCUUGAGAAUCGGUGCCCAUGGCAUCUAAAUUGUAGUUUACAAAAGUGUCCUCAGUGGUGGACCAAGCCCAAGUCCCUAGGAAAAGGGAACCAGAGAGGUUGAGAGUCUUAUUGUGCCUAGACCUUAUCAAACCAUCCAAGGCUGAAUAUGGGUGAGAAACUAAUAAAGAACCUGUAUCACGAGGGAAAGAUGAAAAAAUCUUUGAAAAAAGAGUCAAAGAGUUCUUAAAAUUAUCAAGAAAGAAGUGAAAUGGGGGCCAAUGAUGCAUCUUAGUUAAAUGUGGAACAACGAUAGCCGAUCCAUUGAUCGGCUAGGGCAUGGACCAUUGUGGGUUGUGGCAGUGGCCCAAACCCAAGCUUUCAAUAUGCCUAUGGAGACAUUGUUACCAUGAUUAUAAAAUACAGCACAUGCCAUCUCGACAUGCCUUGACACUCAUGUACUCCUGACAUAGGCCUAUAGGUUCCUUAUCUAGCCCAUCUUGAAACAUGGACAAGGAUAACAUGUGUGUGAGUCAAUGGGGUAGAAAACCUAUAAAACACAAGGAAGCUAAUUGGUGGGAUCCUCAUGAGUGAGCUACUGAUCGACCUUGAUCUUCUAAGAAGGGUUUGAGUGUGAGCAUGCCUAUAAAGACCUAAAAGAUAAGGAACUAUGCCUGAGUGGGACAACGCCAAAGAAAACUAUGGUGGAGGCCCACAAUAAUACUAGCAUGUAAAUUGUUCAUCUAACUUAGGUAUAGGGGUGAAAGACUAAUCAAACUGUUUAAUAGCCAGUUCCCUCUGAAGUUUUCCUUAGGAUAGUUGGAGCCCUUAGUGAAUUCCAUCAAGUAAAGCUAAUGAUUAGAGGCAUUGGGGCCACAACACCCUCGACCUGCCCUUGGUGAAUUCCAUCAGGUAAAGCUAAUGAUUAGAGGCAUCAGGGGCCACAACACCCUUGACCUAUCUUAAACUUUAAAUAGGUAGGAUGGUGUGACUUCAUUAAUCCAUGCCACGAAAUUGAGAGCUCCAAGUGGGCUAUUUUUGGUAAGCAAAACUGGUGAUGCAGAAUGAACCAGAAGCCAAGUUAUGGUGCUCAACUUUGCACUAACCUAGAACCCAUAAAGUGUGUUGGUCGAUUAAGAUAGCAGAACAGUGGUCAUGAAAGUUGAAAUUUGCUAAAAAGUGUGUAACAACUCACCUACCGAGUCAACUAGCCCUGAAAAUGGAUGAUGCUUAAGCACACGACCUAUACUCGACUAUCAGGGUAAGGGCCAAGCCCAAUGAGUAAGAAAGCACAUGGUUGAUGUAAAACUUAAAACAUGAGCUCAGGUGGAGCAACGAUCAGUGUAGAUCUUGGCAUUAGUAGUAAAUAUUCAAAUGAAAACUUUGAAGGCCAAAGAGAGGAAAGGUUCCAUGUGAAUGGCACUUGCAUAUAGGUUAGUUGAUCCUAAGAGAUGGGGGAAGAUAGUCUAAUAGUGCAUCCAGCACAAGCUUUGAAAGGGAAUAAAGUUAAAAUUCUUAAAUUGAGAUACAGUGAUUAAUGGCAAUAUUAAAGAAUCUAGAGACAUUGGUGGGUCUUCGAAAAGAGUUAUCUUUUCUAUUUCAUGGCCUCCCUACCCUGGAAAUGACACAAUUGUAGGUAGGGUCUAGUAGCUAGAUGAGUAACGUAUGUUGCUUAGUGUCUGGUGCACCCCUGGCAACCCUUGAAAAUUUAGAGCAUCGAGUGCCAUCCAUGUCCAAUCAUACUCAUAACCACAUCAGGUCUUAAGGUAAACAACCAUUGGUCAAUAGAACAAUGUAUGCAAUGAAAGUUGGCAAAAUGGAUUCGUAACCUCAAGAAAAGGAUCAGCUCUGAGGGCUGUGCAUGGGGGUCCUAUUCCUGAACCCAUCAGCUAUCAAUGCACUAUUGAGCUAUUUCCAUGGCAAGAGUAAGUCACCAUGUGUCGAUCGGGAGCCUUCCCCAAACAAUGAAUAGUCAACUUUGAACUAGUAUGGACUAAGGGAAUCUGACUAUUUAAUUAAAACAAAACAUUGUGAUAGUCCCUACAGAUGCUCACACAAUGUGAUUUUUGCCCAAUGCUUUAAAUGUCAAAGUGAAAAAAUUCAAUCGAGUGUAGGUAAACUGUGGGAGUAACUAUGACUCUCUUAAGGUAACCAAAUGCCUUGUCAUCUAAUUAUUGAUGCGCAUGAAAGGAUUAAUGAGAUUCCCACUAUCCCUGUCUAUUAUCUAGCAAAACUACACCCAAGGGAAUGGGUUUGGCAGAAUCAGCAAGGAAAGAAGACCCAACUGAGCUUAACUCUAGUCUGACAUUGUGAAAUGACUUGAGAGGUGUAGGAUAAGUGGGAGCCCUCAGGUGAAAUUGAAAUACCACUACUUUUAAUGCUACUUUACUUAUUUUGUAAAUCAAAGGUAGGACAUGACCCUUUCUUUUUAUGAAAGAUGAACAAUUGUGAAAGCAUUUACCAAGGAUGUUUUCAUUAAUCAAGAAUGAAAGUUGCAAGCUUGAAGAUGAUCAGAUAUCAUCCUAGUCUUAACCAUAAAUGAUGUCAACCAAGGAUCGAUGGAUGUUACUUUUAGGACUCCAUCGACACCUUAUGAGAAAUCAAAGUCUUUGGGUUCUGGGGGAGCAUGGUUACAAGGCUAAAACUUAAAGGAAUUGAUGGAAGGGCACCACCAAGAGUGCAACCUAUGGCUUAAUUUGACUCAAUACAGGGAAACUUACUAGGUCUAGACAUAGUAAAGAUUGAUAAACUGAGAGCUCUCUCUUGAUUCUAUGGGAGGUGGUGCAUGGUAGUUCUUAGUUGGUGGAUUGAUUUGUCUAGUUAAAUCCAUUAACGA
rnacentral:rRNA from 1 species